rnacentral:lncRNA from 10 species
GAAACAGUGGGCUGGUAGAGAAGGAGACACAUUUGUGCAAUAUUUAGGAAGCAAAAUUGUAGAGCAGGAAUGGAUCUGAAGUCAAUGAAAAACUCUUCAUAGCUCUAGUUGUUGGGCUUCCCCAGAAGAUGACAUUGAAAGGAAGGUUUGGAUGCAAGUUGUUCAUUUAGGAGGAGAUCUCAGGAAGCACAAAGUAUUUCCUUGAGUCAGGACCUCCAAGUCCUCCCCUAACUAGCCACUGUGCCUUCUCCAGGUAGAAACAGCUUUCUGUCUCAUGACUGACACCCUUCCUUGGUUCCUGUCAUCUGUAGCCAGGUAUGCUGGGUGCUGGAGAGAGCCCUGGACUUGGAGUCAAAAGACUGCAGUUGGAGCAGAGGAUCUUCCCUCAGAAGUUCUGCUGUGGGCUGAGUCGUUUCACCUCUCUGGGCCCCAGAUGGACCUUUGUAAAACUGAGUGGAGGCGAGGAGGUGCAGCAGGUCCAUAAAUUCAUCAGCUUCCCAGGCUGCUUCCACCUUUGCUACAUGUGGCCUCAUCCUUACAGCCCAAGAUGGCUCCUAGGGCUCUAGCCAUCACAUGCUGGUACCAGAGAGCAAGAUGACUGAAGGGGAGGAAAGAGAGCAUGUGCUUGUCUCGUGAAGAGAUUUCCUGGAAGUUACACAAAACAUUUCUGUUUUCAGCUUGUUGACUAGAACAUAGUCGUCUGUCAUACUUAGUGUGGAGGGUGACCAAAGAGGGAGUGUUUUGUCUGAAUAGCAUUGCAUCCAGCCAGAUAGCGAGGGCAAGUAGCUGGAGGGAAGAGGAAGACAGACAUUGUAGAGGAAGCUAGCAGUGACUCCCCCCCAGAUUAUAUCCUAUUAAUAAAAGUAAGAACCUAAUUUAUGCCAUGUGCCUGGGCCUCACAGGGCCAUCACACCUCCAUGAAACAAAGUGCUUGGCCUCACUCUGGUUUGCUUUUGUCAUCUCUGAAACAAGGAGGUUUUACUUCCCCAUGUUUCCCAAAUGUCCAUCAUUCAAAUAAUGCUUCUGCUGUGUAGCCAUGUCUACAGCUGUGGUCAAUGCUCCUCAUCAAGGCCGCUGUCUGUGUACCACUCGUGAUUUAAUCAGUCCGUUUUCUUCCAGGGGACUCUCCCUUUAAGCUUCUCUCUCUCUCUCUCUCUCUCUGUCUAUAUAUAUAUAUAUAUAUACAUAUAUAUAUAUACACACAUAUGCACAUAUAUAUAUCUACACACACACAUAUGUAACAUAUAUUUAGAAGCUUAAAUAUGUAUUAUAUAUUCACUCUCUCUAUAUAUAGAGAGAAAUUUAUAUAUAUAUAUGUAUGUAUUCCUCUAACACUCCUGCACCACACACUGAUCUUCCUAUUCAACAAAUACGAAGGAGGCUGCAGGCACUGAACCUUGAUCAGGUCACUACAUCUGACCUGACAUUAGGAUACUUUUAUUUAAGUUUCUAAAUGUAUAAGUUACAUACAUUUAUAUAUAUACACAUAUAUAGAGAUUUAGAUAUUGAAAAAAUACAUAUUUAUAUAUUGAAAAAAUCUAUAUAUAGACAGAGAGAUUUAUAUGUUGAAAAACCCAAGUAAAAUAAAAAUAAGAAAGUAUCCUUAACAUCAGGUGAGAUGUAGUGACCUGAUCAAGGUUCAGAGCCUGAAGCCUCAUUCCUGUUUGUUGAAGAGGAAGAUCAGUGUGUGGUGUGGGGGUGUUAGAGAAAUAGCGUCAGCAAACUGGAACUCUCUUCUUGCCCUAAUAAGCAGGACUGAAAGUGUUCUCCCUAUGUAAUUUACUUUCUUUUAAACUUAAAAUGAAG